GAAAUGCGAUAAGUAAUGUGAAUUGCAGAAUUCAGUGAAUCAUCGAAUCUUUGAACGCACAUUGCGCCCGCCAGUAUUCUGGCGGGCAUGCCUGUUCGAGCGUCAUUUCAACCAUCAAGCCCCCGGCUUGUGUUGGGGACCUGCGGCUGCCCGCAGGCCCUGAAAACCAGUGGCGGGCUCGCUGUCACACCGAGCGUAGUAGCAUACAUCUCGCUCAGGGCGUGCUGCGGGUUCCGGCCGUUAAAAGCCUUUUUUACCCAAGGUUGACCUCGGAUCAGGUAGGAAGACCCUCUGAACUUAAGC
rnacentral:misc_RNA from 1 species